rnacentral:rRNA from 1 species
CACGUGGGUAACCUGCCUCGUAGUGGGGAAUAACUCGCCGAAAGGCGAGCUAAUACCGCAUAACACCCUCGGUGAGAAUCCGAGUGGUAAAAGCUUUAUGCGCUAUGAGAGGGGCCCGCGGCCGAUUAGCUUGUUGGUGGGGUAACUGCCUACCAAGGCGACGAUCGGUAGCUGGUCUGAGAGGAUGGUCAGCCACACGGGGACUGAGAUACGGCCCCG